rnacentral:rRNA from 1 species
CGUAGCCGCGGUAAUUCCAGCUCCAAUAGCGUAUAUUAAAGUUGUUGCAGUUAAAAAGCUCGUAGUUGAAUUUCGGGGUUCUACCGUCGGUCGGGCUACCAAGUCUGUACUGGUGUGUAGAAUUUCUACCUUCUGGGGAACCAUCAUGUUAUUAAUUUAGCGUGGUGGGAAACCAGGACCUUUACCUUGAAAAAUUAGAGUGUUCAAAGCAGGCUUUUGUCUGAAUACAUUAGCAUGGAAUAAUAGAAUAGGACGGUGGUCCUGUUUUGUUGGUUUCUGAAUCACCGUAAUGAUUAAUAGGGAUAGUUGGGGCAUUAGUAUUCAAUUGUCAGAGGUGAAAUUCUUGGAUUUAUUGAAGACUAACUUCUGCGAAAGCAUUUGCCAAGGAUGUUUUCAUUAAUC